GGUCUCAUAGUGUACCGGUUUGUGCACGCUUGCCUGUCGAGCAAGAGGUCGGGGUUCAACUCCCCGUGGGAUCGC
rnacentral:tRNA from 1 species